CCACACAUGGAGUCCAGAAAAUAUGUGGAUACUUGUUUUCAAUGCUCAACCCAACAGCUUUGUAAUUGGAUGCAUUAUCGAUGAUGCCAUGACAUUGAUGAGAGGACGUUAUUGCCUAGUUGACCACCCGUCGGAGAGCAAUGAAACCCCUUUCUUUUUCCAUGAAUCUCUGAUAGGUUGCAGCAGCCUAUUAACAUGCUCUUUUUCUUGGGAAAGCAAGUGGUACGUAGCCUAUCAUAUGGAGUGUAGCCUAUCAUAUGGAGUGUAACCUAUCAAGCUGUUGUUUGCUAAACUCUGAGAAUACUUUCGGAAGUAAGGUGACCUUGCCAGAUUGAAAGGUAAGCCACUUGCAUAGAACAUUCAUGCACAUUCGUUGUCAGCAAUAUCUCUCUGAGCAACAUUAAAUGACUUGUGCAAAGCACCUGGCAGAGCCAUUCCUUUGCGUUUUUUCUAUUGUAGGAAGUCUGAGCCUUCAGCUUCAACAUCAUCUCUUACGGAUUUCCAAGGUUCAACUCCAUGAUUUGGAAGCUUCACCGGAUGAGCUUUCACCUUUGUAUAUGACCCAGUUACUUUUUUGUUGCUAUAAUUACAAGACCAAGUUCUAUUUCCACCUCCACCUGAAGACACAUUGAAAACCUUCACAUGAUUCCACAAUGGCUUGUCAUCGAACUCUGCUCCAUGACAUGCUACUGGACGCAAGGUUUUCUUCUACUUGGCUGAAGAUUGGGAGGAAGACAUUGUCCCCCUAUAGAUGAAAUUAAUCUGUAAUGGAAGGAAGUUUUGAGAGAUUUUUUUUUUGGGCUAAAAGAUAUGGCCAAAGUCUCUGUUAUAUGCAGAUAAAACUAGUGGAAGGUGGAAAGGUACUUUUGGGAGUUGUUUCUCAGAAUGAUUAGAGGUUUGUGGCUGGCAAGUAAGGCUUCCAAAGGAAGGAAAGCAAUGAAGUCAUUUUGUUGAUGGAACAAACAUGUAGAUACAAUGAUUUUAUUUUAUUUUUUUAUAUUUGCAAGGCACAUUUAAUGUUAAUGUCAGUCACUGCUAAUGACAACUAAAGAAAUGAGUUUUUUAUAUUUGAAGUACUGUAUCAAAGAAAUGGCAACCAA